rnacentral:rRNA from 1 species
CAGUCGCCGCGGUAACACAGAGGGUGCAAGCGUUAAUCGGAAUUACUGGGCGUAAAGCGCGCGUAGGUGGUUUGUUAAGUUGGAUGUGAAAUCCCCGGGCUCAACCUGGGAACUGCAUCCAAAACUGGCAAGCUAGAGUAUGGUAGAGGGUGGUGGAAUUUCCUGAGUAGCGGUGAAAUGCGUAGAUAUAGGAAGGAACACCAGUGGCGAAGGCGACCACCUGGACUGAUACUGACACUGAGGUGCGAAAGCGUGGGGAGCAAACAGGAUUAGAUACCCCUGUAGUCCCUGUCUCUUAUAC